GACGAACGCUGGCGGCGUGCUUAACACAUGCAAGUCGAACGGAAAGGCCCUGCUUUUGUGGGGUGCUCGAGUGGCGAACGGGUGAGUAACACGUGAGUAACCUGCCCUUGACUUUGGGAUAACUUCAGGAAACUGGGGCUAAUACCGGAUAGGAGCUCCUGCUGCAUGGUGGGGGUUGGAAAGUUUCGGCGGUUGGGGAUGGACUCGCGGCUUAUCAGCUUGUUGGUGGGGUAGUGGCUUACCAAGGCUUUGACGGGUAGCCGGCCUGAGAGGGUGACCGGCCACAUUGGGACUGAGAUACGGACCCGACUCCUACGGGAGGCAGCAGUGGGGAAUAUUGCACCAUGGGCGGAAGCCUGAUGCAGCAACGCCGCGUGCGGGAUGACGGCCUUCGGGUUGUAAACCGCUUUCGCCUGUGACGAAGCGUGAGUGACGGUAAUGGGUAAAGAAGCACCGGCUAACUACGUG
rnacentral:rRNA from 1 species